rnacentral:ncRNA from 1 species
UAAAAGCUUGGUCCUGACUUUAUUAUUGACUAUAGCAAUACUUAUACAUGCAAGUCUCCGCAUCCCAGUGAGAAUACCCUGACAGCUCCAUUUUUUGGAGUAAGGAGUUGGUAUCAGGCGCGACCAUAUGGUCAGCCCAUGACACCUUGCUUUGCCACGCCCCCAAGGGAAUUCAGCAGUAAUAGAUUUUAAGCCAUGAGUGAAAACUUGACUUAGUAAACGCUAAGAGGGCCGGUCAAACUCGUGCCAGCCACCGCGGUUAUACGAGAGGUCCAAGUUAAUAAUUGACGGCGUAAAGAGUGGUUAGAAAGACUUGAAAUUAAAGCCGAAUCCCUUCUAAAUUGUUAUAUGUUCAUUGAAGGUGAGAAGUCCAGCUACGAAAGUGGCUUUAUACUUUUGAAUCCACGAAAGCUAAGGCACAAACUGGGAUUAGAUACCCCACUAUGCUUAGCCUUAAACAAUGACAACAUAAUACGCCUGUUGUCCGCCGGGGUAUUACGAGCAUUAGCUUAAAACCCAAAGGACUUGGCGGUGCUUUAAGCCCACCUAGAGGAGCCUGUUCUAGAACCGAUAAUCCCCGUUCAACCUCACCCCUUCUUGUUCCUUUCCGCCUAUAUACCGCCGUCGUCAGCUUACCCUGUGAAGGAUUUGUAGUAAGCAAAAUUGGUGUGACCCUAAAACGCCAGGUCGAGGUGUAGCGUAUGGAGGGGGAAGAUAAUGGGCUACAUUCUCUGGUGCAGAGAAUACGAAUGGUGUGUUGAAAUUACAUACCUGAAGGAGGAUUUAGCAGUAAGUUGAGAAUAGAGUGCUCAGCUGAAAUUGGCCCUGAAGCGCGUACAUACCGCCCGUCAUCCUCCCCAAGACUAGAAAAUUAAAUGUAAAUAAAAAGCCAUAAUAGUAAAGGGGAGGCAAGUCGUAACAUGGUAAGUGUACCGGAAGGUGUACUUGGAAUAA